rnacentral:rRNA from 1 species
GUCUUUUUGAGUUAUAUUUAAAGUCUAACCUGCCCACUGAAAAUUUUUGAAUGGCCGCAGUAAUUUGACUGUGCAAAGGUAGCAUAAUCAUUAGUUUUUUAAUUAAAAGCUUGUAUGAAAGGUUGAACGAAGUAAAAUCUGUCUCUAUUUAAUUAAAUUUAGAAUUUAAUUUUUAAGUUAAAAAGCUUAAAUAUUUGUAAAAGACGAGAAGACCCUAUAGAGCUUUAUAAUUUAUUAAAUAUAAUUAUUUAAGAUUAUUUUAAGUUUUAUUAUAUAAAUUAUUUUAUUGGGGUAAUAUAAAGAUUUAAAUAAUUCUUUUUUUUUAUUAACACUAAUUUGUGAUAUAAUGAUCCAUUUUUAUUGAUUAAAAGAUUAAGUUACCUUAGGGAUAACAGCGUAAUUUUUUUAAAGAGUUCAUAUCGAUAAAAAAGUUUGCGACCUCGAUGUUGGAUUAAAGAUUAGUUUAGGUGUAGAAGUUUAAAUUUUUGGUCUGUUCGACCAUUAAAUCUUUACAUGAUCUGAGUUCAGACCGGUGUAAGCCAGGUCGGUUUCUAUCUUUAUUAAAUUUAAAUAUUUCAGUACGAAAGGACCAAAUAUUUAAUAUAUUUAUAUUUUAUUUUUUGAAUAUUAAUAUUAUUUUGGCAGAUUAGUGCAAUGAAUUUAGAAUUCAUAUAUGUAAUUAUUUUACAAAUAAUACUUGUUUUAUAUAGAUAUUUUGUUUCCUUUAAUUUGUAUAGUUUUAUUAGUUAUUUGUGUUAUAGUUGGAGUUGCUUUUUUGACUCUUUUAGAACGAAAAGUUUU